rnacentral:rRNA from 1 species
UACGGAGGGUGCAAGCGUUAUCCGGAUUUACUGGGUUUAAAGGGUGCGUAGGUGGGUCUGUAAGUCAGCGGUGAAAUCUCCGAGCUUAACUCGGAAACUGCCAUUGAUACUAUAGGUCUUGAAUUAUCUGGAGGUAAGCGGAAUAUGUCAUGUAGCGGUGAAAUGCUUAGAUAUGACAUAGAACACCAAUUGCGAAGGCAGCUUACUACGGAUAUAUUGACACUGAGGCACGAAAGCGUGGGGAUCAAACAGG